rnacentral:rRNA from 1 species
GAUGAACGCUGGCGGCGUGCCUAAUACAUGCAAGUCGAGCGAACGGACGAGAAGCUUGCUUCUCUGAUGUUAGCGGCGGACGGGUGAGUAACACGUGGAUAACCUACCUAUAAGACUGGGAUAACUUCGGGAAACCGGAGCUAAUACCGGAUAAUAUUUUGAACCGCAUGGUUCAAAAGUGAAAGACGGUCUUGCUGUCACUUAUAGAUGGAUCCGCGCUGCAUUAGCUAGUUGGUAAGGUAACGGCUUACCAAGGCAACGAUGCAUAGCCGACCUGAGAGGGUGAUCGGCCACACUGGAACUGAGACACGGUCCAGACUCCUACGGGAGGCAGCAGUAGGGAAUCUUCCGCUAUGGGCGAAAGCCUGACGGAGCAACGCCGCGUGAGUGAUGAAGGUCUUCGGAUCGUAAAACUCUGUUAUUAGGGAAGAACAUAUGUGUAAGUAGCUGUGCACAUCUUGACGGUACCUAAUCAGAAGGCCACGGCUAACUACGUG